rnacentral:lncRNA from 1 species
GGGUCGCGGGACCUCUCAUAUGACCCCCAGUUCUGCGACUCUUGGCGGAUGUAUUUCCCCCAAGCCCGAGCUCCUAAAC